AGGGUUUAAAGGAGGAUUUCAUUAGUGUAUUGACUUUUGAAGAGGGGUACAAUAUCUGUGUGCAGUCAGAAGUAAAUCUGUACCUAUACAGCUGAAGCUUUAUUGACAGAUCCAUAGCGUGAUACUGGUUUACAGCAGAAUCUGAGGAAG